CCUACGGGUGGCUGCAGUGGGGAAUAUUGCGCAAUGGGCGAAAGCCUGACGCAGCGACGCCGCGUGAGGGAUGAAGGUCUUCGGAUCGUAAACCCCUGUCAGCAGGGAAGAACGGUCACUGGGCUAAGCAGCAGUGAAUUGACGGUACCGGCAAAGGAAGCACCGGCUAACUCCGUGCCAGCAGCCGCGGUAAGACGGAGGGUGCGAGCGUUAAUCGGAAUUACGGGGCGUAAAGCGCGCGUAGGCGGUAUGUCAAGUCAAGGGUGAAAUCCCCGCGCUCAACGUGGGAACUGCCUUUGAAACUGGCAACCUGGAGUGUGUGCGAGUCUAGUGGCCUUCCAGGUGUCG
rnacentral:rRNA from 1 species